UUUAAGGACAUCACUCCUCUAGAUAUAGAGCUUGCUGUUAUUCAGAUUCCUCAAGUGUGCGCCGAUAUUGUGAAAAUACCUACUCAUGCGCAUUCAGACAAAUCGGGAUAGGAUACGGAUGACUUUUCUCCUACACCCAAUCUUCAAUCUAAGAAGAAACAUGUUGAAAGUGUUGGUCCAUCUUCAUCACCGCCACAUAAGAAGGUCAAGGAACAACCCAAGAUUCCUACAAAAGAACCAGAAUAUCAGCCCAAAGUCCCUCCUGUUUGUGUUUCUGACAUUGGACAUAAACUUGUGCAUGACCAUCAGCUCCCAGAAGGCCAAAAUGAGGAAGUAUCUUCUUUGAGGAAAGACCUAAAAUCAUUCAAAGAAUACGUUGUUGGAGAGUUCAAGUCUCUAAGGACAUUGAUCAAUGAUAACUUCAAGAUGCUUUCAGACCAACUUCAACAAAAUCAGCAAACUGAACCCAUAGUGAGACAUGAUGGUGGCAUUGACACAGAUGUCGGAGAUAAUAAUGAGAAAACUAUUUCAGAGGUACCGUCCAUCAUACCAUCUACCACAAACCAAGAGGAUGUAUCUAAAGAAUUCUAUGUUUCUCAAUUUGAACUGGACGACAAGUUUCUACCCAGUCAAAUUCCAGAAACUAGAAUAGUUGUUCACGCAAGUGCAAAAAAAGAUGAAGCCACACUAGUGCAACCUCAACGAAAUAGGCG